rnacentral:tRNA from 1 species
ACCUGGCUGGCUCAGUUGGUAGAACAUGUGACUCUUGAUCUCAUGGUUGUGAGUUCGAGCCCCAUGUUGGGUA